rnacentral:siRNA from 1 species
CAUUUUUCUUUCUUGUGCUUGG